rnacentral:rRNA from 1 species
AUUGAACGCUGGCGGCAUGCUUUACGCAUGCAAGUCAAACGGCAGCACGGACUUCGGUCUGGUGGCGAGUGGCGAACGGGUGAGUAAUACAUCGGAACGUACCCAGUAAUGGGGGAUAACUAUCCGAAAGGAUAGCUAAUACCGCAUACGCCCUACGGGGGAAAGAGGGGGAUCGCAAGACCUCUUGUUAUUGGAGCGGCCGAUGGCUGAUUAGCUAGUUGGUGGGGUAAAGGCCUACCAAGGCAACGAUCAGUAGCGGGUCUUAGAGGACGAUCCGCCACACUGGAACUGAGACACGGUCCAGACUCCUACGGGAGGCAGCAGUGGGGAAUCUUGGACAAUGGGCGCAAGCCUGAUCCAGCAAUGCCGCGUGCGUGAAGAAGGCCUUCGGGUUGUAAAGCGCUUUUGUCAGGGAGCAAAUCCUUGUGGCUAAUACCCACCGGGGAUGAGAGUACCUGAAGAAUAAGGACCGGCUAACUACGUGCCAGCCGCCGCCGUAA